UAGCCGUAAACGAUACUCGCUAGGUGUCGGCCACGGUGCGACCGUUGUCGGUGCCGUAGGGAAGCCGUGAAGCGAGCCACCUGGGAAGUACGGCCGCAAGGCUGAAACUUAAAGGAAUUGGCGGGGGAGCACCACAACGGGUGGAGCUUGCGGUUUAAUUGGAUUCAACGCCGGAAAUCUCACCGGGACCGACAGCAACAUGAAGGCCAGGCUGAAGACUUUGCCGGAUUAGCUGAGAGGAGGUGCAUGGCGUAGUCGUGU
rnacentral:rRNA from 1 species